rnacentral:snRNA from 1 species
AGUUGUGAGGGUGAUCUGUCUGGGCAGGCGUUCCCUUCCUCCCUCACUGCUUUAUUGCUUCCCCAAAACUGAGGACACAGUUAAAGAGGACAGCUUUUCCCAGAAGAGGGGGACCAUCAUUCAGUCAGGGAUAUAUGAGUAGCAGCAGUCCCUGCUAGAACCUCCAGGCAGGCUUUCAAGAACAAACCAAAAGACACUUGUAAUUAAAACUUAAAGCUAGCUGCUUUGAUGGCUUAUGUGUGUAAUCUCAGCAUUUG